UACAGAGGGUGCGAACGUUGUUCGGAAUUACUGGGCAUAAAGAGCACGUAGGCGGCACCGCAAGUGUGGGGUGAAAUCCCACGGCUUACCCGUGGAACUGCCUGGCAGACUGCGGUGCUAGAGGUUGGUAGGGGAGAGCGGAACUCUUGGUGGAGCGGUGAAAUGCGUUGAUAUCAUCAGGAACUCCGGUGGCGAAGGCGGCUCGCUGGACCUCUUCUGACGCUGAGGCGCGAAAGCUAGGGGAGCAAACAGGG
rnacentral:rRNA from 1 species